rnacentral:rRNA from 1 species
CGCGUAGGCGGUUCGUACAGUCAGACGUGAAAUUCCCGGGCUCAACCUGGGGACUGCGUUUGAUACGUACGGGCUUGAGUUCGGAAGAGGGUCGUGGAAUUCCCAGUGUAGAGGUGAAAUUCGUAGAUAUUGGGAAGAACACCGGUGGCGAAGGCGGCGACCUGGUCCGAUACUGACGCUGAGGCGCGAAAGCGUGGGGAGUAAACA